rnacentral:rRNA from 1 species
AUUGAACGCUGGCGGCGUGCUUUACACAUGCAAGUCGAACGGUAACAGGUCUUCGGAUGCUGACGAGUGGCGAACGGGUGAGUAAUACAUCGGAACGUGCCUAGUAGCGGGGGAUAACUACUCGAAAGAGUAGCUAAUACCGCAUGAGAUCUACGGAUGAAAGCAGGGGACCUUCGGGCCUUGUGCUACUAGAGCGGCUGAUGGCAGAUUAGGUAGUUGGUGGGGUAAAGGCUUACCAAGCCUGCGAUCUGUAGCUGGUCUGAGAGGACGACCAGCCACACUGGGACUGAGACACGGCCCAGACUCCUACGGGAGGCAGCAGUGGGGAAUUUUGGACAAUGGGCGAAAGCCUGAUCCAGCAAUGCCGCGUGCAGGAUGAAGGCCCUCGGGUUGUAAACUGCUUUUGUACGGAACGAAAAGCCUGGGGCUAAUAUCCCCGGGUCAUGACGGUACCGUAAGAAUAAGCACCGGCUAACUACGUGCCAGCCGCCGCGGUAA